AGUGAACGCUGGCGGUAGGCCUAACACAUGCAAGUCGAACGGCAGCACAGUAAGAGCUUGCUCUUACGGGUGGCGAGUGGCGGACGGGUGAGGAAUACAUCGGAAUCUACUUUUUCGUGGGGGAUAACGUAGGGAAACUUACGCUAAUACCGCAUACGACCUACGGGUGAAAGUAGGGGAUCUUCGGACCUUGCGCGAUUGAAUGAGCCGAUGUCGGAUUAGCUAGUUGGCGGGGUAAAGGCCCACCAAGGCGACGAUCCGUAGCUGGUCUGAGAGGAUGAUCAGCCACACUGGAACUGAGACACGGUCCAGACUCCUACGGGAGGCAGCAGUGGGGAAUAUUGGACAAUGGGCGCAAGCCUGAUCCAGCCAUACCGCGUGGGUGAAGAAGACCUUCGGGUUGUAAAGCCCUUUUGUUGGGAAAGAAAAGCAGCAGGUUAAUACCCCGCUGUUCUGACGGUACCCAAAGAAUAAGCACCGGCUAACUUCGUG
rnacentral:rRNA from 1 species